CAGUAGCCGCGGUAAUACGAAGGGGGCUAGCGUUGUUCGGAUUUACUGGGCGUAAAGCGUGCGUAGGCGGCUUUUUAAGUCGGAUGUGAAAUCCCUGAGCUUAACUUAGGAAUUGCAUUCGAUACUGGGAAGCUAGAGUAUGGGAGAGGAUGGUAGAAUUCCAGGUGUAGCGGUGAAAUGCGUAGAGAUCUGGAGGAAUACCGAUGGCGAAGGCAGCCAUCUGGCCUAAUACUGACGCUGAGGUACGAAAGCAUGGGGAGCAAACAGGAUUAGAUACCCCAGUAGUCCCUGUCUCUUAUAC
rnacentral:rRNA from 1 species